rnacentral:rRNA from 1 species
UACAGAGGUCUCGAGCGUUAGGCGGAAUCACUGGGCUUAAAGCGUGUGUAGGCGGGUCGUUAAGUGCCUUGUGAAAUCCCAUGGCUCAACCAUGGAACUGCUGGGCAUACUGGCGAUCUUGUGCCACCUAGGGGCGAGCGGAACAGAUGGUGGAGCGGUGAAAUGCGUAGAUAUCAUUUGGAACGCCAAUGGUGAAAACAGCUCGCUGGGGGUUUGCUGACGCUGAGACACGAAAGCCAGGGGAGCAAACGGG